GACGAAGGAUCCAAGCGUUAUCCGGAUUCAUUGGGGUUAAAGGGAGCGUAGGCGGACUUAUAAGUCAGUGGUGAAAGCCGAUAGCUUAACUAUCGAAUUGCCAUUGAUACUGUAGGUCUAGAGUACAGAUGAUGUUGGCGGAAUAUGACAUGUAGCGGUGAAAUGCAUAGAUAUGUCAUAGAACACCGAUUGCGAAGGCAGCUGACAAAACUGUAACUGACGCUGAGGCUCGAAAGUGCGGGGAUCAAACAGG
rnacentral:rRNA from 1 species